UACGUAGGUGGCAAGCGUUACUCGGAAUUACUAGGUGUAAAACGCAAGUAGGUGGUUCAAUAAGUUAGGGGUGAAAUUUACGAUUAAAAUCGUAAGGGUCUUCUAAUACUGUUGAACUUGAGCAUAAAAUGGGGAACCAGAAUUCCUGGUGUAGCGGUGAAAUGCGUAGAUAUCAGGAGGAAUACCGAUGGCGAAGGCGGGUUCCUGAUUUAUUGCUGACACUGAUUUGCGAAAGCUAGGGGAGCAAACAGG
rnacentral:rRNA from 1 species